rnacentral:rRNA from 1 species
GACGUAGGGCGCGAGCGUUGUCCGGAUUUAUUGGGCGUAAAGAGCUCGUAGGCGGCUCGUUGCGUCGGCUGUGAAAACCCGCAGCUCAACUGUGGGCUUGCAGCCGAUACGGGCGGGCUGGGAUUCGGUAGGGGAGACUGGAAUUCCUGGUGUAGCAGUGAAAUGCGUAGAUAUCAGGAGGAACACCGAUGGCGAAGGCAGGUCUCUGGGCUGACACUGACGCUCAUGCACGAAAGCGUGGGGAGCAAACAGG